rnacentral:lncRNA from 1 species
UAGCUUCUCUAAGCCUCCAGUUUUAUUAUCUACAAAAUGAAGAUAAUGAUGAUAAUACUUACAUCAGAAAUAUCUAAUAGGAAUUAAAUGAGAUAAUCCAUAUAGAAGUUCUUAGCUCAUAGCACCUGGCCCAGAAUAAGAAUUCAAAGUUGGAUGUUAGCCAUAUUAUUUGUUAUUCCAGGAAAUGGCACUUCAGGACAAAUCAGUUAUGGAUGGCCGAGGCCCUACAUACUACAUAGAAAGAACUGGGUCAAAUGACCCUUCCCCCUCCUCUGCCAAAAGCAACUUGGAAGUUAAACUUUUGUUUUCGAAUUGUAGAGUUUCAGUGGCAGUGAACAAGAAAUAAAGGUCAACAGCCAUUUCCUCUGGAACCUGGCUGGUUAAUUUGAUAUCUGGGAAUUGGCUCAAGGUGUGGGUGGUGGAAAUAAACAAAUCUUCUUCCCUGCAACCUCACAAACCUACCUUCAUUCUAACCCUCCUUUCUAUCUGAUCCCCACUUCCCCCAAAUGCAUAAAGUAAUGGCCUCACAGAAGCCUGUGUGUGGCACUUUUGAGAUGUGAUCCUAAAUAGCAAGGCUAUGAAUCAUUGUGUGAAUGCUAAAUAUUUCUAUUUCCAUUAUAGGAGUUAAUAACAAUGAUGAAGGAAUGCUCUCUAUUGAAAAAGAAUUAACCCCUUGAUUUCAAAUGUUGGCCUUUUUUUCCCUUCACAGAGCACGUCUUACUCCAUAGCAUGUUGCCAUACCAUUAUUAUAUAGCAUUCUUAGUCAAUAUUUAUUUGACUCAAAACCAUUAUGAAGACUAGAGUUGUCUCCCCUACAUGUUUUCCACCACACACAAUUUGUUUCAAGCGAAACAGAAAGAUCCCUAUCCCCACACUCACUCUAAUCUUUCUGAUUGAGAAUAGGUCAUUUCAUACCUGGCCUCUCAGAAAUAUAGAAUCAAGGAGCAUAAGAAAUAAAGUCUGUUCCACAAUUAGUAUCCAGCUCCUAUUCACUGAGGCUACUUGGAGAAUUUUUUUUUUUUUUAAAUACCUUGCCUCAAGCCUGUGUUUCUAUCCUUUAAUUUAUGCUGCACACUAGCUAAACUGAAGUUGCCCAGACAUCCAUUUCCUAAAUUAUUCAUUCUCUCUCUCUCUAUUAGUAGCCUGGUCACAUAAAUACUAUGAAAGUUUUAGCAUAAUCAAGCAAACACUUUGAUUUAAUCCCUUUUUUUUUUUUUUUUUGGUCUUUUUAGGGCCACACCUGCGGCAUAUGGAGGUUCCCAGGCUAGGGGUCUAAUCAGAGCUGCUGCUGCCAGCCUAUGCCAGAGCCACAGCAACGCCAGAUCUGAGCCACAUCUGCGACCUACACCACAGCUCAUGGCAACGCUGGAUCCUUAACCCACUGAGCAAGGCCAGGGAUCAAACCUGCAACCACAUGGUUCCUAUUUGGAUUUGUUUCCACUGUGCCACGAGGGGAACUCCGAUUUAUUCUUGAGUCAAAAAAUAUUCAUUGAGGAGUUCCCGUCGUGGCGCAGUGGUUAACGAAUCCGACUAGGAACCAUGAGGUUGCGGGUUCGGUCCCUGCCCUUGCUCAGUGGGUUAACGAUCCGGCCUUGCCGUGAGCUGUGGUGUAGGUUGCAGAUGCGGCUCGGAUCCUGCGUUGCUGUGCCUCUGGCGUAGGUCGGUGGCUACAGCUCCGAUUCAACCCCUAGCCUGGGAACCUCCAUAUGCCGCGGAAGCGCCCAAGAAAUAGCAACAACAACAACAACAACAACAAAAGACAAAAAGACAAAAGACAAAAAAAAAAAAAAAAAUAUUCAUUGAAUACCCUCUGUUUCAAAUAUUGUACUAGGUCUUACUGACACAGUGAUGAACAAAACAAUUACAGUCUCAUCCUCAUGAGGCUUAUCAUUUAGUGGUGGGAUCACACAAGAGACAAAAACACCCCAAAAUAAAUUACAAAUUAUAGUGAGCAAAAAAAAAGGAAAGGAAGGAAGGGAAACAGAGGGAAUAUAUGUGACUAUAACAAGGGGGUACUCCAUUUAUGAUGAGGGGGUCAGAGAAGACCUCGCUAAAACAGCAUAUGUUAUUUGAAACCUAAGGAUUCAUAGAGGUUAGCUAGGUGAAGAUUUAGGGGAAGGUUCUAAGCAGGAUGUAUAUAAAGUCCCAGGACAACAAGAAACAUGCCACAUUAAGAAACUGAGAAAGUCCAAUAUGGUGGAGCUUAUUGAACAGUGGGGAGAAUCUGACCCUAUGGACUUUACCACAUAAAAAUGUUCUGAAUUCAAUUAUUUUUAAAUCCAGAAGGUCUAUCCAAAAAAAUCACAUUGCUAGAUGGAGUUCCCUGAUGGCCUAGUGGCUAAGGAUUUGGUGUUGUCACUGCUGUGGCUUGGGUCACUGCUGUGGUGAGGGUUCAAUCCCCGGCCUAGGAACUUCCACAUAAUAUGGACAUAACCAAAAAAAAAAAAUCAUAUUGCUACAUAAUUUACAGUAUGAUUUCAAAUUGCAAAUUCCCAGCAAAAUUAUACGAAUAAGCCUGUCAUCCUCCGUACUCCCACACACCAUUCCCCUAAGGCCUGUCCAUGUUAAAUGAUGCCUACAUUUUAAAAAUCACUUAUCAAAUGAUCUAAAUAUAGUGGAGUACAAACAUAAAACAAUUUCUGUUUUUCUCCUUUUAACCAAGCUCUAUAAAAUCUCUCUUUCCUACAUUUCAUUUUAUUUUUAUAUAUUUAUUUAUUUUGUCUUUUUGUCUUUUUAGGGCUGCAACCACGGCAUAUGGAGGUUCCCAGGCUAGGGGUCUAAUCGGUUGCCAGCCUACACCAGAUCCAAGAUGUGUCUGCGACCUAUACCACAGCUCACAGCAAUGCCGGAUCCGUAACCCACUGAGCAAGGCCAGGGAUCAAACCUGCAACCUCAUGGUUCCUAGUUGGAUUCACUUCCCCUGCACCAUGACAGGAACUCCCCUUUCCUACAUUUUAGAGAGAUUUCCUGUGUUGGUAGUUACAUCCAGUUACUAAUGUCUAGCCUUGUUCAAUCCAAAAUUUAAAACUUCAGUCUCAUUUCAAUUCUGUGUUGGUUCCUUUCUCUCCUAUCACCUGCCGAAAUUGGCCUCAGUGAUUUGGGAAUGCGAAGGGCAAGGUCUGAUCAUUCAUCUACUCCUUGCCUGGGUUCCUUUUCCCUCCAGUACACUGGUGAAAUGUCAGGCCUCAAAGAUUGCCAAGGGCUAGAUGCUGGAGAAUCUUCUAUGUCGAACUAAAGAACUUGGACUUUAUCUUUUAAAGGAGAUACAAGAAAACAUUAAAGGGUAACUACCCAAAUAGGCUUUCAUUUUAGAAUGGCCCCUUCACCGCACUGUAAAGAGUAGAUUAGAGGAGACAAGCAAGGAUUAGGAUUACAAAGAGAAUGCCGGCCCCCUGAAAUCUCUCCCACAGCUCCCCUCUUAAUUUCUUCUCCCCAACUUCUCUCAAAAUCCUAUGAGACCUCCCUUGCCUUGGAAAUACUCCUGAAAAUCCUUCCUCUAAACUUGGGCAAGUCUGAUCCAUCAUUUUUAGGGUUUUUGAAACACCAAUAUGUGGGGAAAAAGCCUUUCUGCUUUAUUAAUCUUGGCUAAAGGAGAGCAAGAUAUUAAAAUUGAACUCUUGCCUUGGAGUUUCACCAAUGGCCCUGAAAUCUAAAGACAGUGUCUAAAUUGAGGAGCUAGAGCACCAAAGCAAUACAUCCUAAGGACUGUGAAAUUGAUUCUACCAACCCAAUCUCCCAUCUCUAGUUCAGUAAAUAUUGAAACUGAAAAAGCCCAUAGAGACAAUGCCUUUGGAAAUUGUUCUGGGUGCUAUAGAGGGGAUGGGGUGGGGGAGGGGAGGAAAAAAUACUUUCCCUCACCUUAAUUCAGGUGAGAGGAGCUUCUAAGAAUGGCUCAAAAAACUUGGCCUACAGCCUCUGAAGAUUGGGUGACCAGGGAUUGGACUCUGCUUCUGCUGGGGGAAAGUCUAAAGAUGAAAGGCUGUGACUACAAACAGCAGAGAGCUCUGUAUUAGUCAUUAUCUACACUUCCAGCGACAGUAGGCAAAGGGGUUUGUCUCCUAGGACCCAGAUAUGGAUCCUGGGUCAAAAAAGGCAGCCUGGGUCAGAAAGGUCAGCUUGGAGAAGCCAAAGGCUCACAGUGGAGAGAUAGACUGCUGGAAGCUUAUGGCUAAAGAUGGACUCAAAAACAGCCAGACAUGAGAACUUGACUUUUCAAAGAGAGCUGCAGUCAUUGGGCCUCUAGCAGGAAAUCUCCUGGGAAAAAAAGCACCCCAAGAGAAUAAGAGCCAACAAUUGUCUAGCUGUCACCUGUGACAUCCUUCUUAUCUGUGCCCCUGCCCCUAACUCUGGGUAUCCUUGUGACUCUCUUUUAACCAACAGAAUGUGGCAGAAAUGGCAUUGCAGGACUUCUAAGGCUAGGUCAAAAAAGGCAAUGCAGCUCCCACUUCAUUGCCAGAUACAACUAUGUCAGUCAAAUAAAACUUUUCUUACCUCUUAUCUUUCUUCUCCAAAGAAGUGGGAAAUCAUACACAGGAGUGGAAGAAAAAGUAGAAUUAUGAAAUUAUGAAGAGGCAGAGCAUGUGUCCCCCAUUCCUGGUCAGGUCUAAGCUGGGGGACAGGAGAGCUCUAAGUUCGAUAAGAAUCCUAAAUUUUGAUACUAUACUUGACAGGAAUUUUUGUUUGCUAAAAUGAGACUUUCUUGUGACUGAAGGAACCAGAAAGCUGUUAGACCUGCCAAAUACUUCAUCCAGGGUAGGAAAGAACAAGUCCAAAAGCAGAUUUGAAAGGAAAGAACAGAAAACAAUUCACACACAACAGAGUCCAGUUUGUUUGAUAAAAUGCCUACAUGAUUUAUAAUGGAUGUAAAACAAAAGCUAUGGAGUCAACAGAGAGCUGGAAUUACACAGAAAGCCAAGGCCAUCUGGUGACUAUAUCAAGGCCAGCUAAAAUAAAGUCCAUGGCCUGCUCAGGGUUAGGACUUUUUAUGAAAUAAAUAAAUUAGCUAGUGUAAUUGUUUGGACAGGUUAUUAAAACAGAAGAAAGCAGAGUUCCUGUUGUGGCUCAGGGGUCAACGAAUCCGACUAGGAAACUUGAGGUUGCGGGUUCGAUCCCUGGCCUCGCUCAGUGGGUUAAUGAUCUGGCGUUGCCGUGAGCUGUGGUGUAGGUUGCAGAUGUGGCUUGGAUCCCGAGUUGCUGUGGCUCUGGCAUAGGCCGGCGACUGUAGCUCUGAUUCGACCCCUAGCCUGGGAACCUCCAUGUGCCA